GAAUUUGUGAAAACAUGAACUUUGGUCAGUUAGUUGUAGUUAGAAGGGCUCGGUUAGGUCAGUUUGUCAGUCCCAGUGCAGAUGUAGGGUCAGGAGUGUUUUUGUAAGGGUUACGGUAGCGGUGCAUUUUCAGCUACUGACACCUUAACAUUUGGAAAGCCAAUAACCCUCAAGGUCGUACCAAAAGAUGUACCGGAAACUGCUCCGGUUCUGUCCAUCUUGUCCCCUUUCAAGGGCGAUGGACCGGAUAUUUGUCUGGCCGCCGGGUUCUUUCCUCAAGAAAAGAAUAUGACUUUGACUUUGGAAGGUAACGAACCUAAAAGUCUUACCCCCAGCAAUGCACCUUUGUUCAGCACGACCAAAACCUAUUAUUAUGCUGGAUUCAGUGAUAAUACAAAAAUCAAUGAAUGCAAAAUGGAUGGACAAACUGCAGACAAAACUCCAGACACUCCUGAAACGACAGAUAAACCCGAAAGACCGACUCCAAACAAAUGUGAAACAAAUGCUAAAACUUCUGCCUCAGGGUUCAUAGACACUGGUGUUCCAAAAAUGAACUUCAUGAAUCUUCUUGUGACAGGUCUGAGAAUUCUGCUUGCUAAAUGUGUUGCAGUUAAUGUAAUGAUGACUGUAAAGGCAUUCGUAUUUUAAAAGUUCAAUUCAGCCAAAUCAUCUGAAUAAUCUCAAUUAUUAAGUGUAACUUGAUCGAACCCUGACAAACAAACAAAUGCGGUUAU